rnacentral:rRNA from 1 species
CCUACGGGAGGCAGCAGUGAGGAAUAUUGGUCAAUGGGCGCAAGCCUGAACCAGCCAAGUAGCGUGCAGGAUGACGGCCCUACGGGUUGUAAACUGCUUUUAUACGGGAAUAAAGUGACGCACGUGUACGUCUUUGCAUGUACUUUAUGAAUAAGGACCGGCUAACUCCGUGCCAGCAGCCGCGGUAAUACGGAGGGUCCGGGCGUUAUCCGGAUUUAUUGGGUUUAAAGGGAGCGUAGAUGGCUUGUCAAGUCUGAUGUGAAAGUUUGGGGCUCAACCCGGGCAUUGCAGUGGAAACUGGCGGGCUUGAGUACAGGGGAGGUAGGCGGAAUUCGUGGUGUAGCGGUGAAAUGCUUAGAUAUGACGAAGAACCCCGAUUGCGAAGGCAGCUUACUGAACAGUAACUGACGUUGAUGCUCGAAAGCGUGGGUAUCAAACAGGAUUAGAUACCCGUGUAGUC